UGGGUAGACCAGAGGAACCAGGCUCUGAGGGGUGACCAGUUCUCUACUGGCUGUACUGGGUAGACCAGAGGAACCAGGCUCUGAGGGGUGACCAGUCCUCUACUGGCUGUACUGGGUAGACCAGAGGAACCAGGCUCUGAGGGGUGACCAGUCCUCUACUGGCUGUACUGGGUAGACCAGAGGAACCAGGCUCUGAGAGGUGACCAGUCCUCUACUGGCUGUACUGGGUAGACCAGAGGAACCAGGCUCUGAGGGGUGACCAGUCCUCUACUGGCUGUACUGGGUAGACCAGAGGAACCAGGCUCUGAGGGGUGACCAGUCCUCUACUGGCUGUACUGGGUAGAGAGGAACCAGGCUCUAAGGAGGGACCAGCAGGGUUUGAUAAUAACAUGAUGGUUUUAGGUGUCAACAUGUCUAAUAACUGAUUAUCUGUUUUUUUACCAACAUCCACAGAUUCAAAUGAGGAAGAAUGUUACCUUUAUGAUCUUCAAAACCUGACUGGACAGCUGGAGGAGGUCAGAAAAGAAAACGGUAAGUUGUGCUUCCACAACUGCAUGUAUUUCAUUGAUUUAAGUGAAAACAUUUUCCUUAAAAAUAUUUGCACUAUAUAUUACACAGGGUAACUACACUAUAUAUUACACUGGUUAACUACACUAUAUAUUACACUGGUUAACUACACUAUAUUAACUACACUAUAUAUUACACUGGUUAACUACACUAUAUUAACUACACUAUAUAUUGCACUGGUUAACUACACUAUAUAUUACACUGGUUAACUACACUAUAUAUUACACUGAUUAACUACACUAUAUAUUACACUGGUUAACUACACUAUAUAUU